rnacentral:misc_RNA from 1 species
GCAAACUUGGUCAUUUAGAGGAAGUAAAAGUCGUAACAAGGUUUCCGUAGGUGAACCUGCGGAAGGAUCAUUAGAAAAUAAAAAUGCCUUUAUGGCAUUUUUUAUACAUCCACAUACCAUUUUUGCAUAUGUAAUAGUAUUAUUAUUAUAUGUAAUUUUUUAUAAAGUCGCCUUUUUUUAAGGGUGCAUUAAAUAAAAUAAAGAAAAACUUUCAACAAUGGAUCUCUUGGCUCUCGCAUCGAUGAAGAACGCAGC